rnacentral:rRNA from 1 species
GACGGGGGAUGCAAGUGUUAUCCGGAAUCACUGGGCGUAAAGCGUCUGCAGGUGGUUUCCUAAGUCCACUGUUAAACCUUGAGGCUCAACCUCAAAUCUGCAUUGGAAACUAGGAGACUUGAGUAUAGUAGGGGUAGAGGGAAUUUCCAGUGGAGCGGUGAAGUGCGUAGAUAUUGGAAAGAACACCGAUGGCGAAGGCACUCUACUGGGCUAUUACUGACACUCAGAGACGAAAGCUAGGGGAGCAAAUGGG